rnacentral:rRNA from 1 species
GCAAUAUGAAGGUCAGGCUGAAGACCUUACCCGAUUAGCUGAGAGGUGGUGCAUGGCCGUCGUCAGUUCGUACUGUGAAGCAUCCUGUUAAGUCAGGCAACGAGCGAGACCCACGUCCACAGUUGCCAGCAUACCCUCCGGGGUGAUGGGUACACUGUGGAGACCGCCGCUGCUAAAGCGGAGGAAGGAGUGGGCAACGGUAGGUCAGUAUGCCCCGAAUCCCCCGGGCUACACGCGGGCUACAAUGGUUGGUACAAUGGGCAUCUACCCCGAAAGGGGAAGGAAAUCUCUUAAAGCCAAUCGUAGUUCGGAUUGAGGGCUGCAACUCGCCCUCAUGAAGCUGGAAUCCGUAGUAAUCGCGUUUCAACAGAACGCGGUGAAUACGUCCCUGAACUCCUU